ensembl:lncRNA
AGUAAAGGGGUGUUGGGUGGAGAAGUUCUGAAGGUGGAGGGGCAGUGUUGGUAGAGACGGGAACAGGGUGAAGAUAUGUCUAGUGAGGGCCUGAGGGGGAACCCCUAGCCGGCUGGGGCCACUGGAGGACAACGGAGCCCCCUCCUGCCUCAGACACCCAAGAGCAAGAGUCAGCCUCUGCUGCCUCAGGCUGGACUCUCAGGAGGGAGUUGGGAGGACUCUUCAGUUUCCCCUCCAUCAGGAAAGUUGGUCCAGGAGAACCAGCCUCAGCCCCGACACAGGCAGUGGCUGGCUCAAGCAUGGCUUUUGCCAAGUGGGGCCACGUCUGCACCCAGGAUCCAAACCGGCGAACUUCGGGCCGCCGAAGCAGAACUUGCACACUUAACCGCUGCACCACUGGGCCAGCCCCCACAGAAAGGUUUUAAGCAAGGGAGAAAUGGGGGCUAAGACUUGAGGUCAAUCUACUUUCCAGGGUCAUGAAAACAUUCAGGUGGCUGUGAGGAUUACAUGCAUUAUUGUAUAUGAAAACAUUUUGUAAACUGUAAAUCAUAUUGACUUGAGAUCUAGAAGCAGCAGCUUGUCCUUAAGUGGCAGGGCAUUGGAUUGGUGACAUGGAGGGAUGAGUAGGAGAAAGCCUGGGCUUUGGAUUCUGCUUCAAAUGCUGGCUCCAGCAUGGACUGGUUGUGUGUCCUCGGGUACACAAGGCUCUCAGCAUCAGUCUCUUCAGCUGCAGAAUGGGAACACAAUAUUUCUGUCUCUCAGGGAGGCUGUUAGAUGAGGGCUCCUAUGCCUCGGUUUUCUUUGGGUGCUUGCAACAGAAACUCAACUCUGGCUACUUAAGGAUAUAAGGAAAUUAACGGGAGGUUAUGAAGGUGUCACAGAGAUCUAAAAAAAAAUGUGAGCAAACCAGGCCUUAAAAAGGAAUAGAAUGGAGCAGUUCUGUGGACACAGAAGGAAUUAAUGGAAGACCCUUCAGUUGUUGCCAUCAGAAAGAAAUCAGCUCUAAUCAUGUUCAUCCUUGUUUGCGUACGAGAUUUAGAUUCCUUGGAGAAUCUUGAGUAGCUUGGGUCUCAUGCCAAAUCCUUGCCCAGGCAUGGAGUAGUCUUGGGUGUGGGGGUGUUUGAUGCCCCCUCAAGGCUGAUAAAACAGGCAAGGAGAAAUUUUCAGAGGGAAUCUGGGCUGUCGUUACCAAAAUAAGAAGGAAGGGACGCGAGAGAGACAAAGACAGAGCUGCCCUCUACAACAUUUGGCAAAUGGUGACUGUCACAGUUCUUAGGGCUCAUCAAGCUAGGAUUUCUCCCUGAGAAGUCUCCUAGUCUUUGCUGCUCCUACUAAGCACUGGGAGAGGAAAUCCUGUCGGGACUAUGGAAGGCUGCCAGGUGCUUGCUGUGUGCACUCCCAUCCUACCACUUACUGCAUGAUGUUGACAUCUGCUCAUCUCUCACAUUUCUGUGGGUUCCUGAGCUUCUAGCGGAGUAUGACCAAUAGUAAGAGCGAAUGCUUGCCAUGUGCCAGAGUUCUAAAUGGUUCAUAUAUAUAAAUUCAUCUUAUCUUCAGACAACUCUGCGAGCCAGGUUCUGUCGUCAUCAUCGUCAUCAUCUCUGUUUAGUCGAUGAGGAAGCUGAGGCACAGGGAGGCCAAGUAACUUGCCCAAGUGCACACAGUUGGGGCAUGGAGGGACAAGGAUUCAAACCCAGCAGACCUGAAUGUCUAAUCUAGGCCAUUAACCACUCUGCUGCCUCUCAGUGACAUGAUUUCAGCUAACCUAUUUUCUGCCUUCAUUCCGAACUUGGCCAGAAGUGGUCAGUAGAUCACGGUGACUCACCAGCAAAACCACAAAGGAGGUGAAGCCCAUCUCCCUUGCCUUCUAGCCACCCAAAGUCGGCCUCCAGGGGCCCCGACCUAUGAUUCUCCUUCCUCCCCGGCUCUGCAAGGAUGGCAGAGGCCUCCCCCUGCCAUCCAGACUCCCUAAGAUAUGUCAACGGGUUGUGGGUUUCCCACUCACUUAGGCCUCAUAUUCUGAAGUGAGAAAGCGCUAAUUUCCUGGUUUGGGGAAAAAGAGGAAAUACAACAUGCAUCACUUAAUGAACACACUCUGCAUGUCCACAUAUAUGUAAAUUAACUCAUUUGGUUUUCAAGUCAACUCAUUCUUGUUACUUGUCCUAUUUUACAAAUUAGGCCAAUGAGGCUUAGGGAGCUUGUGUGACCUGCCCACAGGUCCACAACCAGAAAAGGAACAGGAAACACUGCCCAAAUAUAUGGACCAUACUCUUUCUCUCCGUCUCUCCACCCUCUCUUCCCAUAUCUGGUUGUCUCAUCUCCCUGACUCUCUCAUCACCAGUCUAAUUUGUGUGUGUGUAUGUGUAGGGGGGAUCUUUAAUAAUAUUAUUAAUUCAAAUUAAGUAUUUUGGGUUUAAAUACCUUCUCUUCAAAUUUGAUUGUAAUUUUCCUGGAGUUUUUCAUGUCUCCAGUUCUAUGAAGUUGAAAGUUGAACCAUCCCUGACCUAAAUCAGUGUUUUAGAGUGGUUGAAAGAGAGGUAAUGCAUGUGCAAUGAUUUCAAAAGCAUCAAGUCAUCUACCAGUGCUGGGCUGCUGUUUUGUCUCGUCUUUGUUAAUGGCGUCUGGCACAGUUGCCAGGCUGUGCGGAGGAGCACUCCUGGGAAGCUCCAGAACAGCGCCAGCAUCAUCCAAACCUGAUAUGUUUUAUUCCACCUAAAACCACAAAGGCAACUGGGACUUGUUCUACCAACAUCAUAGUCCUAACACUGGUGGAAACUGACGUAAACGGAGGGGCUCACUACCAUCAACCCCAAACCUGAGGGGCUUUCAUUUCCACAAGCAGCCUCAGAGUCUUCUCCACAUAUAAUGAAUAUGCAUAUGGUAAUAACAUGGCUAAGUUUUUGAAAUCUUUUAUUCAUUUAUAUUCUAUCAUAUAUACAAUCACAUAAUAAUAAAAAAUGUUGAUAAUUUCUUUGAUUAAGAAAUGUUAUUUUAAAAGUAACACUUGGUUUUUGCCAAAAACUUGGAAAGUGCAAAAAGAAUAAGGAAGAAAAUUUAACUCAAUAUUAACUUUAGAACCCAGAUAUAUAACCCCUGCUAACUUUCUGUUCUAUUUCUUUCUGGACUUUGAUUUGCAUAUGUAUUUUAAAGUAUAAUUGGGCAUCAUAUAUAUAUAUAUACUGUUUUGUAUGUAUAAUUUUUCACUUACCUUUAUAUAAAGAAACACUUUUCUAUGUCCUGAUAAUCAUUUUUAAUGAUGGCAUAACUAUUUUUC